rnacentral:rRNA from 1 species
CGCGAUUUUUCCGGUUAGCAAUAACUGGAAAAAUUGAGUGGCGAAUGGGUGCGUAACACGUGGGAAUUUAUCCGGAAGUGGGGUAUAGCUUGCCGAAAGGCAAAUUAAUACCGCAUAUGCCCGUAAGGGCAAAGUGGGGGACCGCAAGGCCUCACGCUAUCGGAGGAGCCCGCGCCCUAUCAGCUAGUUGGUGAGGUAAUGGCUCACCAAGGCUUAGACGGGUAGCUGGUCUGAGAGGACGACCAGCCACACUGGAACUGAGACACGGUCCAGACACCUACGGGUGGCAGCAGUCGAGGAUUUUUCUCAAUGGGGGCAACCCUGAAGGAGCGACGCCGCGUGGAGGAUGAAGGGCUUCGGCUCGUAAACUCCUGUCACCGACGAACAAGGCAUCCGGAUUAAUAAAUCGGAUGCUUGAUGGUAGUCGGAGAGGAAGGGGCGGCUAACUCUGUGC